rnacentral:rRNA from 1 species
UGGGGAAUAUUGGACAAUGGGCGCAAGCCUGAUCCAGCAAUACCGCGUGUGUGAAGAAGGCCUGAGGGUUGUAAAGCACUUUCAAUAGGGAGGAAAACCUGUCGGCGAAUACCCGGCAGCUUGACAUUACCUAUACAAGAAGCACCGGCUAACUCCGUGCCAGCAGCCGCGGUAAUACGGAGGGUGCAAGCGUUAAUCGGAAUUACUGGGCGUAAAGCGUGCGUAGGCGGUUUGCUAAGUCAGAUGUGAAAGCCCCGGGCUUAACCUGGGAACGGCAUUUGAAACUGGUUAACUUGAGUUUAGUAGAGGGGAGUGGAAUUUCAGGUGUAGCGGUGAAAUGCGUAGAUAUCUGAAGGAACACCAGUGGCGAAGGCGACUCCCUGGACUAGAACUGACGCUGAGGUACGAAAGCGUGGGUAGCAAACAGG